rnacentral:misc_RNA from 1 species
CAGAGAAAAUGCCCCUUGGGGUAUAUCUCCCACCCUGUGUCUACAAUACUUAUGUUGCUUUGGCAGGCCUGUCUCCUAAGACUGCUGGCUAUUACUGCUAGUUUGUGCCUGCCAGAGGACUUUAAUAUUCUUGCUACUUGUUGUCUGAGUACUAUACAAUAAUUA